rnacentral:rRNA from 1 species
UACAGAGGGGCAAGCGUUGUUCGGAAUUACUGGGCGUAAAGGGCGCGUAGGCGGCCCGCUAAGUCGAACGUGAAAUCCCCGAGCUCAACUCGGGAACUGCGUCCGAUACUGGCGGGCUUGAAUCCGGGAGAGGGAUGCGGAAUUCCAGGUGUAGCGGUGAAAUGCGUAGAUAUCUGGAGGAACACCGGUGGCGAAGGCGGCAUCCUGGACCGGCAUUGACGCUGAGGCGCGAAAAGCGUGGGGUAGCAAACAGG